GGCGGAGUAGCUCAGUUGGUUAGAGCAUCGGAAUCAUAAUCCGGGUGCCGGGGGUUCAAGUCCCUCCUCCGCUACCA
rnacentral:tRNA from 1 species